GAUGAAGAACGCAGCGAAAUGCGAUAAGUAAUGUGAAUUGCAGAAUUCAGUGAAUCAUCGAAUCUUUGAACGCACAUUGCGCCCGCUAGUAUUCUGGCGGGCAUGCCUGUCCGAGCGUCAUUUCAACCCUCAAGCCCCCGGGCUUGGUGUUGGGGAUCGGCGAGCCUCCGCGCCCGCCGUCCCCUAAAUCUAGUGACGGUCUCGCUGUAGCUUCCUCUGCGUAGUAGCACACCUCGCACUGGGAAACAGCGCGGCCACGCCGUUAAACCCCCAACUUCUGAACGUUUGACCUCGGAUCAGGUAGGAAUACCCGCUGAACUUAAGCAUAUCAAUAAGCGGAGGA
rnacentral:misc_RNA from 1 species